UUCCUACUCCCUUCGUCUGAAAAUACUUGUUCUAAAAAUAAAUAUAAUGAAUGUAUCUAUAACUAAAAUAAGUCUAGAUUCAUUCAUUUCUAGGAUAAGUAUUUUCGAACGGAUGAAGUAUUUA
rnacentral:pre_miRNA from 1 species